rnacentral:tRNA from 1 species
UAUAGCUCAGUGGAACAGUGCCUGCCUGGCAAGCAUGAGGUCCUGGUUCGAUUCCUGGUA